rnacentral:lncRNA from 1 species
AAUUUCUUUUUUGUCAGCAUUUUUGAAAUCGUGAUAAUUCAUAAUGAUUUGUUAGCCAUUAAAUAAGACCAACAAAAAUUAAGUAUAAAAGAAUAUCAUAUCAAUCUAUAAGUGUUCACGAUCAAAAUAGACCCCAUAGGAAACACUGAAAUACACCACGUACAUAAAAUAACACCAAAUAGGCAAGCAGCAAGCUCACAUAGUUUAUGAGCUUUAGCCCAUCUUUUUAAUGGAAUGAUUGGUAACGUCUGAAAAUAUUUUUGAAAAAGUAUAAAAUUCACAAAAUAUUUGAGUUAUUUAUUUUUAUUUUAUAAAGCUCACAAAACAUGUGAGUUAUCCAUUUUUAUUUUAUAAAGCUCAUAAAAUAUGUGAGUUUUAUACCUUAUAUACAAAACUCCAUCUUUCUAAUCGCCGCCCUCCUUCCCCCUCCCCCCUCCUCCAAUUUCUCUUUGCCCUUAUUUCUCUGAAAACAAACACCUAAACCCUACAAAUUCUGAUUCCCUCCACUUUGAUUUCCCACAUCUAGUCUUUUCAAGAAAAAUUUUAGCCGAUUCUUACUUAGUGAUUUCAUGUAGUUGUAGUUCGGUGCUUGAAAAUCGAGAAACUAUUACGAUUCAAAUUGAGGUAAUUUUCUGAAUUUAUUUUGUUGAAAUUGUUGGUUCAAAUUAUUAUUUUAGUGAAUGAUUUUGUAAGUGUUGUUUGGUUGUUGCAAAUUUAUUUGGUUAGUUUCUUGUUUGAACAGUUAUUAUGUUACGAAUUAACACCUCAAAUCAACAUCAAUAGAAGGUAUAUAAUCAAUUUGAAAAAAGACUAAUAAGUCCUUGUUUCCAACAUAAUUUUAUUCCUGGAAAAUAAACUUUAACCACAAAUAAAAAUAUGUAAAAACAAUAGUUUUAUUGAUAAACGAUGGGGUACAAAUUUGUUCCUCUCUUGAUUUUUUUGUCUUGAUUUUCUCCGUAAUUCAAGGGCCGUCAGUAGCAUAUUUCUCGAAUGUAUGAAGAUUUGGAUAUAAAUUUCUCCGUAAUUCGAGGGUCAUUAGUGGCAUAUUUCUCGAACGUAGGAACAUUUGGAUUCAAAGGAGGGUUUGUUUUCUUGAUGUAUUUGAUUAUCAAGAAAAGAGGGUUUUGACUUUUAUGAAUAUCCCAUGAAUUUAUUGGGACUUUUCAGAUUUUUGAUCUCUUUGUGAAUAUCCCGUGAAUUUGUGAGAUACUGGAUAUGCCUUUUUAAAGGCAUAUUUGUCCCUUUUAUAUAUGCAUAAUUUAGGGUUUAGGUUGAGUAGUCAUCAAGCUAGAUUUAGGGUAAAGUAGCCCCCAAGAACUCUAACCAAAAUUGAACUCUUUUUGUAGAGUCCACGAAAUUUCAAUGUCUACAAAUGUCCCCUGCUUCAAGGUUUGUCGGAGUGUAGAUUUGAUGAAAUUCAAAGACAAAUCUUGAAGUACCGCUUCCAUCUUUACGAUCCUGCGGCUACAAAUUUGCAUAUUUGAUUUAUGAGAGAAGAUAUGAAGGGCAGAUUUGGUCCCACUGGACGUGUCAAUUUGUUUCCAACAUAAUUUAAUUCAUGCACAAAUAAAAAUACGAAGAAACAAUAAUUUUAUUGAUCAAGAAUAUGGGUACUUGAUUCUUCUCUCUUGAUUUUCUCCAUAAUUCGAACGCCGUCAGUAUCAUAUUUCUCGAAUGUAUGAAGAUUUGGAUAUGAAUUUUUCCGUAAUUCGAGGGUCGUUAGUGAUUUCUCCGUAAUUCAAGCACCGUCAGUAGCAUAUUUCUCGAAUGUAUGAAGAUUUGGAUAUGAAUUUCUUCGUAAUUCGAGGGUCGUUAGUGGCGUAUUUCUCGAACGUAGGAAUAUUUUGAUUUGAUAUCUCUUCUUGAGGUAUUUGAUUAUCAAGAAGAGAGGGUUUUGAUCUUUAUGAAUAUCCCAUGAAUUAUUG